GCAAGUGCCGUUGACAGAGUGCAGGCGGGAAGCUUCGGUUUGGGUAGAGAUGUAGCAUCAAGCAUUCACGGAUGUCCAGGGAGCACAGGCUGCUGGCCAGAGAUACUAGGAAGGUACAGGCGGGAGCUCGACGAGGAUGCACCUUCCCCUGUCUUGGAAAGGGGGCUCCUCACAGCGAUGCUGGACUCACUAAGCCCUGAGGUCAUGUGAAAAGAAGUUUGCCUUGGGCCCAUCUGUCUCCUGUUGGCUGGCCACAAGAUGGAGAAGGCGGAAGCAACCUGAGGAGUCCUCUUUGUCUGUAAGGAUAGAGGGUCCAUUGUGGAAGGGAGAGAUACUGGAAUUGUAUAGGCGAGGCCCUACCAGCCCCGCAUCUCUUAUCUCCAGAAUUCUUUUACAGAAUAGAAAAAAUAAACGUUUAUCUGGCUUAA